UUAGCAAGAAAUGUAAUAGGUAUUUACACAAGUUAUAACUCAUCAAAAAGUUGUUGCACACUUCUCUCAAUAUGGCUAUGAGGAAAGCAUCCAUCACUUUGUUCUCUGUAGUUUGUCUUAUGCUUAUCACCAUAGGUAUAUAUUUCUCCCUCUUUUGCUUUCUCAUCAAAUGAAAAUCCUGAUUUAUAUAUGUUUGUAUGCUCAAAUUAUUAUUAACAUAAAGUAUUUCAUAACACAAAUU
rnacentral:lncRNA from 1 species